rnacentral:rRNA from 1 species
UACGUAGGGGCCAAGCGUUGUCCGGAUUUAUUGGGCGUAAAGAGCUCGUAGGCGGUUGGGUAAGUCGGGUGUGAAAACUCCAGGCUCAACUUGGAGAUGCCACCCGAUACUGCUCUGACUUGAGUUCGGUAGGGGAGUGGGGAAUUCCUGGUGUAGCGGUGAAAUGCGCAGAUAUCGGGAGGAACACCGGUGGCGAAGGCGGUUCUCUGGGACGGUACUGACGCUGAGACGCGAAAGCGUGGGGAGCGAACAGG